CCUACGGUGUGCAGCAGUGAGGAAUAUUGGUCAAUGGGCGGAAGCCUGAACCAGCCAAGUAGCGUGCAGGAUGACGGCCCUACGGGUUGUAAACUGCUUUUAUACGGGAAUAACGCGCCUUACGUGUAGGGCUUUGCAUGUACCGUAUGAAUAAGGACCGGCUAAUUCCGUGCCAGCAGCCGCGGUAAUACGGAGGGUCCGGGCGUUAUCCGGAUUUAUUGGGUUUAAAGGGCGCGUAGGCCGGAUGUCAAGCGUGCUGUGAAAGGUCCGGGCGCAACCCGGGCCGUGCAGCGCGAACUGGCGUGCUUGAGUCCGCGGAAAGCAGGCGGAAUUCGUCGUGUAGCGGUGAAAUGCUUAGAUAUGACGAAGAACCCCGAUUGCGAAGGCAGCUUGCUGCAGCGGAACUGACGCUGAUGCUCGAAAGCGCGGGUAUCGAACAGGAUUAGAUACCCGGGUAGUC
rnacentral:rRNA from 1 species